rnacentral:rRNA from 1 species
GACGUAGGGUCGCGAGCGUUAAUCGGAAUUACUGGGCGUAAAGCGUGCGCAGGCUGUUUUGUAAGUCAGAUGUGAAAUCCCCGAGCUCAACUUGGGAACUGCGUUUGAAACUACAAGACUAGAAUAUGUCAGAGGGGGGUAGAAUUCCACGUGUAGCAGUGAAAUGCGUGAGAAGAUGUGGAGGAAUACCAAUGGCGAAGGCAGCC